AUUGAACGCUGGCGGCAUGCUUUACACAUGCAAGUCGAACGGAAACAGGCCUUGGGGUGUUGACGAGUGGUGGACGGGUGCGUAAUGCAACCGCACGUAUCCCGAGGCGGGGGAUCACGCAGAGAUAGCUGUGCCAAUACCGCAUGUGAUCUGAGGUUUAAAGCGGGGGACUGCGAAGCUAUGUUUCGCCUCUCGCGUUUGGUGUGGCUGAUGUCGGAUUAGCUUGUUGGUGGGGUAAAGGCCUACCAAGGCGACGAACCGUAGCUGAUCUGAGAGGAUGACCGGCCACACUGGAACUGAGACACGGCCCAGACUCCUACGGGAGGCAGCAGUAGGGAAUUUUGGGCAAUGGGCGCAAGCCUGAUCCAGCAAUGCCGCGUGAGGGAAGAAGGCCUUCGGAUCGUAAACCGCUUUUGGCAGGAACGAAACAGUGUCCGCUAAUACCGGCAGCUAAUGACGGUACCUGCAGAAUAAGCACCGGCUAACUACGUG
rnacentral:rRNA from 1 species